rnacentral:rRNA from 1 species
GUGCCAGCAGCCGCGGUAAUACGUAGGUGGCAAGCGUUGUCCGGAAUUAUUGGGCGUAAAGCGCGCGCAGGCGGUCCUUUAAGUCUGAUGUGAAAGCCCACGGCUCAACCGUGGAGGGUCAUUGGAAACUGGGGGACUUGAGUGCAGAAGAGGAGAGCGGAAUUCCACGUGUAGCGGUGAAAUGCGUAGAGAUGUGGAGGAACACCAGUGGCGAAGGCGGCUCUCUGGUCUGUAACUGACGCUGAGGCGCGAAAGCGUGGGGAGCGAACAGGAUUAGAUACCCUGGUAGUCC